GUGGGGAAUCUUCCGCAAUGGACGAAAGUCUGACGGAGCAACGCCGCGUGAGUGAAGAAGGUUUUCGGAUCGUAAAGCUCUUUCGUUAGGGACGAACGUGCUCUUUGUGAAUAAUGAGGAGUAAUGACGGUACCUAAAUAAGAAGCCACGGCUAACUACGUGCCAGCAGCCGCGGUAAUACGUAGGUGGCAAGCGUUGUCCGGAAUUAUUGGGCGUAAAGCGCGCGCAGGCGGGAUAUCAAGUCUGUCUUAAAAGUGCGAGGCUCAACCUCGUGAGGGGACAGAAACUGGUAUUCUUGAGUGUCGGAGAGGAAAGUGGAAUUCCAAGUGUAGCGGUGAAAUGCGUAGAGAUUUGGAAGAACACCAGUGGCGAAGGCGACUUUCUGGACGAUGUCUGACGCUGAGGCGCGAAAGCUAGGGGAGCGAACGGGAUUAGAUACUCUAGUAGUCC
rnacentral:rRNA from 1 species